UUGUUUGCUACUUCUCUUUAGGUAAGAGAGAGCCUGAAGAUGAUGUUGAUACUAAAGUGAAUCUUAAGAAGCGGAAGAAAGAUGUGAUUGCUGCUGUCCAAAAGGAAAAAGCUUUGAAUUUGUUUCGGAUUUGAUUUAAAUACUUUGUAUUUGAUUUAAUAUUUGUAACUGAUUCUAUUGUUUUCAUGGUUUUGCAGCUGUGUGUGAGUAAGAGGAUGGUGAGAGUGGUCAGAUUCUGAAAUGGUGACAAGCUGCAUAGGUGAAAAGGUAAACUCCAAAAUUGCUUUCAACUUUAAAUUAUGUGUGUAAAACUGAACACUUGAAUUGAAUAUAGAUUAUGAAACUGAAUUGAAACUGAAUUGAAUAGAGAUUAGGAAGUGCAUACUUGAAUUGAAUUGAAUAAAUUUAUGAAACUGAACAUGAGUGAAACAAAAUUGAAACUGAACCCUUAAAUUUAAUAGAGAUUAGGUAGAUAUGGUUGAGAAUGCAGUUGUCUUUAAAUGGAACAAUGAAUACAUAUGAAGUAGAAAGGAAAUUGAAUGGCAUCUCUGUAACUUGAAGUCUGUUUAUUGUUCAAUGCAAACUGUGAGAAUAGUUUCUGCAAUAUUCUUUGUGUCGUUGGGUUUUCUUUUUAAGAAUUUGUUUAGAUAUAGUUAAAGUGAAAUUAAAUGGUGAUGAGACAUUAGUCAGCUAGACUGAAGUUAUGUUGAUGGCUAGGGUCUCAGUGACUUCAAUUACUAAAUCAAACACAUAGUUCAAACACAUUAACACCCAUAUUCAAUAGAAAUUAGGUGGAUUUUUAUUGAGUCUUUUCCUUUAUAAUUACUCUAUGAGAACUUAACAAACCACUUAAACUAAACAAAAACCCAAAAUGGCUUCCACCUUUAACUUUUCCUCCUCUCAGCCUUUUACCAAUUUGUUGUUUAGCCAAGAAGAAAACCCAACACCUCUCAGUCUUUCACAGCCUUCUUGUUCUGAAUCCCAAACACCCACAUCCUUAGCUAGGGAACCUAGAGUGAGAUGGAGUCUUCCUGAAGAGAAGGCACUUGCAAGUGCCUGGCUCAACACAUCCAAAGACUCAGUUGUGGGGAAUGAGCAGAGAUCAGCAGCCUUUUGAGAUAGGGUUGCAUCAUAUUAUGCUGCGUGACUUGCUUUCUCUAAGCACCAUCUGAGAGGCAAACACUUUAAGCAGAAAUGGCAAAAAAUAAAUGAGCUUGCAUGAAAUUUGUUGGCUGCUAUGAGUAUGCAUCUCGGACUCCUCGCAAUGGAGAGACUGACGAUGACAUUCUAGUGCUGGCCUACAAGCUUUACCACCAGGAUCAAAAAACCAAAUCAGUCUAGCAUGUGUGGAGAAUCCUCAAGACUGAUCAGAAAUGGUGCAAUUGGUGUGAGACAAAAAUCAAACCUGUCAAGAAGAAAGCUAAAACUUUCUAAGGUAGAAGAAAAGAGUUUUCAAAGGCUUAUAGGGGUCAAGGCAUCCAAGGCUUUAGCCAAGUCCAAAGGUAAGGGAAAGAGCCAAUUCUGUGGCUGAACUUCAAGGUUUGUGAGAAAAGAAGGAGAAAGAUUUUGAUGUCAAAGAGAGACUCUCUAAGCAGAAGCUCCUUGACAGCCUUCUUGGAAGGUCUGAUGGUUUGAGUGAGCUGGAAAUUGAACUCAAGAACACUCUUAUCAAAGAAUCUAGUGGAACUCCUCUAGAAUCUAGUGGUGUCGGCAAGGAAAGGAAUCUGGUUCUUUGUUGCUUUCAUGUAAAGUUGUAUUGCUUUGUUUUAUUCGGAUGUACCAAACAUUUUCUAUGGUCACAAUGUAUUAGUACUUUAUGGUCAGAUUGUUGUUUUUUGUUUUUAUUUUGUAUGGUCACAAUUGUUUGUAUUAUGUACUUUAUGACUUUGUUGUAUUUUCACAAAUUCUCUUAUAUAUAUAAGUUAUAUC